AGUUGAACAGGACAGUGCCACUUCUAGAUCUUUUAUUGCGCUUUGCUUGUAUUUUGUAAGUCAAACAUCUCUGAAGAAAUGAUGGCUUGUGUUUAGCCCGAUUUUGAAGAAUAUUGUAUAACUCGACCGGUUUACAAUAAACUAAAAGAUGUUCUUCGGCGGCAAUUGCCUCUUUAUCAGUUAAAGGGACUUGAGAUUUCUGAUGGAACA
rnacentral:misc_RNA from 1 species